rnacentral:rRNA from 1 species
AUACGUAUGGGGCGAGCGUUAUCCGGAAUCAUUGGGCGUAAAGCGCGCGUAGGCGGCUGUCCAAGCGGGGCGUCAAAUCCCGGGGCUCCACCCCGGGCCGCGCCCCGAACUGGGCGGCUUGAGUCCGGUAGGGGGAGGCGGAAUUCCCGGUGUAGCGGUGAAAUGCGCAGAUAUCGGGAAGAACACCGGUGGCGAAGGCGGCCUCCCGGGCCGCGACUGACGCUGAGGCGCGAAAGCUAGGGGAGCGAACAGGAUUAGAUACCCUGGUAGUCCUAGCCGUAAACGAUGGGCACUAGGUGUGGGGGAGACCGAUCCUCCGUGCCGCAGCCAACGCAUUAAGUGCCCCGCCUGGGGAGUACGGCCGCAAGGCUAAAACUCAAAGGAAUUGACGGGG